UUACGGUUGACACUUCUACAUCCACGGUAAUCACUCUUAAAGGAAGUGCCGCCCUCCAGACACCAACAGUGUGAUGAAGUGAUUUGUAGAGCGUCCAUCAUUUUUUUUCCCGAAGUGUGAAUAUGAAACUCAAACGCUAUUACGACGAGAUACCAGCUGAAGUUGUUAGCCACCCCUCAUUCAGGACCCCCACACACCUUGCUCUGGAUGUGCCUCUCCAUCUCACAUUAUGGCCUACAUAACUCAGCUAAGAAUGGGUGUCACAAUAAGAGCCCAGCUGUUUCGAGAGAGUGACAGAAGACAGCCAGCUGAGCUCAGGGAGUCUUCACCUGGCCACUACAGUGCUCGUACGCACCUGCAAACUCCCAUUGCUACACGGUGCCUUCACAAUCUGCUAAUUCUCACAGAUUAACCAACCAAGAUGUGUCGGGAAGAUUUAGAGCUGCUGGUUAGUGUUUUUUACAGUUUGAAAGUGGAGCUCAAGAUUGUCUCUGUGCCUCUCCCAGUUUCCUGUCUCCCUAAUCCUUAAUCCUGUGGAAAUCGGUCAGGCAGAAUGAGCCAGCUUUGAUCAGGCUCUCAUAUCAGGCGUGCUAACAGUGUCAGCACACCCGGAUCCCACAGAACCCAGGAGCCCAGGGGGGGAAAGCUUCAAACAGGCACUCACCCCAGACUCUGCUUGAGAGGAAGGGGGAAUCGAGGCUAGAGACUCUACAAAAUAAAUAAAAAAGUAACACUGAUGUCAACAUUUGCAUCAUAAUUAA